rnacentral:rRNA from 1 species
AUCUUCCACAAUGGGUGCAAACCUGAUGGAGCAAUGCCGCGUGAAUGAAGAAUGUCUUCGGAUCGUAAAGCUCUGUUAUUAGAGAAGAACAAGUCAAGGAGGAACUGUCUUGACUUUGACGGUACUUAACCAGAAAGACACGGCUAACUACGUGCCAUCUGCCGCGGUAAUACGUAGGUGACAAGCGUUGGCCGGAAUUACUGGGCGUAAAGGGAGGGCAGGCAGUUGGAAUAGUCUGAUGUGAAAGCCAACGGGUUAACCGUGGAAGGUCAUUGGAAACUGUCCAACUUGAAUGAAGAAGAGGUAAGUGGAAUUCCAUGCGUAGCGGUGAAAUGCGUAGAUAUAUGGAGGAACACCAGUGGCGAAGGAGACUUACUGGUCUGUGAUUGACGCUGAGGCUCGAGAGCGUGGGUAGCGAACA